AUUGAACGCUAGCGGGAUGCCUUACACAUGCAAGUCGAACGGAGUGGCGAACGGGUGAGUAAUGUAUCGGAACGUGCCCAGUAGCGGGGGAUAACUACGCGAAAGCGUAACUAAUACCGCAUACUAUUGGCGCGGCCGAUGUCGGAUUAGCUAGUUGGUGGGGUAACGGGUGACCACGGCUACGAUCCGUAGCUGGUUUGAGAGGACGACCAGCCAAACUGGUACUGAGACACGGCCCAGACUCCUACGGGAGGCAGCAGUGGGGAAUUUUGGACAAUGGGGGAAACCCUGAGCCAGCCAUCCCGCGUGUGCGAUGAAGGCCUUCGGGUUGUAAAGCACUUUUGGCAAGAAGGCGUUACCUGCAGAAUAAGCACCGGCUAACUACGUGCCAGCAGCCGCGGUAAUUC
rnacentral:rRNA from 1 species